CCAGGAGGCCACGAGUACGUUAUCAAUCCCUUCCGAUCGAGAAUUCAUUGACUGCUUCCCAAUAAUUUCGGCUGAUUCCUUUCCGCCCAGAUCGUGAGCUGCAGGCCGGCGAUUCCGGCCUCAUCUAGGUCGUCCUCACCAUCACCCCAAGUCCGGUCUCCGGUGGACCAUCGAACUCCACUCCAUGAUAGAUCCGCUGACAUUGUCGCUUAGCUUGGAGGCCAGGCAAUGGGGAGAUCGUUCCAUGCUUCUUGUUUCAGUCUAAAGCCUGAUAACUUUUUGAUUUUUCAGUUAACUGGUAAUUUUUGUUCAUGGCAGGCAGAGGCAACUUAGAAUACUAUCAUGAGGAUUAUGAGAGUCAAGGGUGAAGGGCCUCACGAUCUACCAUCUAAAGAGUCAUCUUCAGGUCUGUACGCAUCGGUACAAUUAGGUUUAGUUUGAGUACUCUCUUUCUCUCUCUCUUCCUCUCCUAAUGUGUGGUUUGAUUUGUGAUUGUAUUUAUCUUAUAAUAAAAUCAUAAAUUUCAUGCAUGGAAGCAGCAGCAAGAGUUAUGUGAUCACUCGGUUAAGGAUGGUAAAAUGAUAAUAUCUAGUGCACAUUCUUGCAUUUAGUUUAUAUCAUCUUAGUUCAAAUUGUUGGAUGAAACCAUCAUAAUUUCAUUUUCUUUAGAAUCAUAUUUGCUUUAUUGAAGUAGAAAUUAUUAUGAAAGUGAAGAGCACACUAGCAUGUGCGCCUCUUUAUUUGAAGAUAUUCUCUCGUAAAUGAAGGAGAUAUCUUCGAACGCCUUGCUUCUUGCCAUAAUCUCAUUGGUGGUUUGCCCAUAAUGCCACACUGAACCAUCAUGGGUGUAUCGAUGACCCAGAACCAGUACUAACGGUUAUCCCAUACCACUGAGCAAAUUCACCACCAUCAAAAGUGCUUCCUUUGUCCGAGGGUCCAAGAUGCCAGCAUGGUGAGUUGGUGACACUUGCUGCUCCCACGAAAUCACACUGAUGGCUCCUUGCGAUUGACAUAAUCACAACCUUGCCAUUGCAUCAUCUACGCCCAUCUUCACACAACCAUCAGGAGGAUGGAUCCAAGAUGAGAUCAUGACAAGUGACUUUGGGUCAAAGAAUGCUAGAAGAAAAUUUUCAAGGGGCCCCGAAUUUUAGUUUCACCUCGUGUCGUGGUUCUAAGACUGACAGUAGAAAGGGGGUAGGUAUGGAGAGGCAAGAUCCCAGCUAUGGUGAAGGUGUACACACAGGAUUUACGAGUUCAAGCCCUUCGCGGAGGAAGUAAUAGCCCUACGUCUCGGUGCCGGGAGGCAGACGACUGGAUUAUAUGUGUGUGAUGUUACAGGGGGAGCGAACACUUGUCCCAGAGGAGGGGUGGCUUAUAUAGAGUGCGCCAGGGACCCAACCAUCCUCCAUUACAAGGGGCUUAAUGUACAUAAAGUAGGGGCAUUACUGAUAACGCCAGUCUUAAGUGCUAUUAAUGACCUUAAAGACUACAGAGUGAAUGCCAGACCGUUGAGUGAUUUCUGAUCUUCGGUAGGUCGAGUGAUUCCUUGUAUGGUCGAGUGACAACAAAUAGGAGGGGUAUCCGAGUGAUAUGAUUGGUCGAGUGGAUUGCACUCGACACCUUUGGCUGGGGGGGUUCUUCGUUGCCUCUUGGACUUCUUAUCUUCUAGGGUAGGGACCUUGGGUAGGACGUAUAGGCCAGGCCUAUGACCCUACCCCAGGUCUAUAUCUUCAUCAGUAGCCCCCGAGUGGAUUAACGUUCGAUAGGAAAGUAGGUUGAAGUUGAACUUGUUCUGAGCUUUGCACCUCACGAGUGUUUUUCGCAAGAUGGAAGACUCUCGUUGGUACUUCAGCGUCGAUUCAGUUGCCUUGAUCCAUUCAGAAAGUUGCCGAGUGAACUUAUAGCAUCAUCCGCCGAGUGUUGUCUUGGAGUGUAGAAUCUUUGGCGCGAUUGAUUGUAGUGUAUCCCAGAUUUCACGGAAUACGAAAUUUCGGGGAAGCGCGCGGGACGGGGCGCGCCGAAGUAAGCGAAGCGGAUAAACAUUAGUGCCUCGAUUUUUGUGCCGCCUUUUUUGCCACGUACAUUGUGCGUGACUGUUGCGGGAUUUGACAGGAUCGCCUGGUCCCACGCGUCAGCCACUCGGAAGCAGCCCUUUAUAAGGCGAUUGGGCCGAAGCGUCUGCACUGUGCACGCCCGUUUCUCUUUCUUCUUCAUCUGCUUCUCCAUGCAUCCAGUUCUUUUGCUCUCGAGGCCACCGCUCUGCCGCCAUGGUGAAGGACAAGACGGUGGCGCUGGAGCGUGCGAAGAAGGCGACGGGGGUAGCGAAAGGCAAGAAGCAGAACCGCGGGUCGUCAUCACACGUGGGGCUGCCGCCCGGCUGGAUCCAGGGCGAUUGGAUCUGGUCUUUGCUCCGGCAAGAAGAUCUGGACGAGCUGGUGCAGUCCGGGCUGAUCACCAAGGGUGCAGCAAGGCUGCCUGAGGGGGAGAUGGAGCCGCAGCCUCAACCGGGUGAGUGUGUACUGCUCGCCACCCAUGUCGACCGGGGUUUUUCGCUCCCUCCGCACCCCUUCUUCCGGGGCUUCCUGAACUUCUUCGGUGCCCAACUCCACCAUUUUUCUCCCAAUACCAUCAUGUACCUUGCCGCAUUUGUGUCGAUGUGUGAAAACUUUUUGGGGUGUCGACCGCACUGGGGCCUUUUCAAACACAUCUUCACCAUCCGUUCCCAGUCGGUGAAGAAAGCGAAAACAAGUGACUCGAAGACCCAUGUCAUCCAUAUGUGCGGGGGUUUGGGUAUCCAAAAGAGGCAUAGGAGUUCUUUCCCUGCGAUGACUCUCCCUGAAUCAGUUAGAGGUUAGCAGUCGACCUGGUUCUACUACUAGGACGUCCCAACUCCAGGUCAGUCGACUGGCCUUCCCCACUUCACUUUCGACCGUGUCCAGACUCCUUCUCCACUGAAAGUGACUGCUGCUGAGAACAUGGAGACGAAGAUGUUGGUUGAGAAAGUGGUGCAACUGAUUAACGAGGGUUUCACUGGCCUGGACCUGCUGGAGGUAUUCCUCAGUCGAUGCAUCCAGCCUCUUCAGGCCCGUGACCAUCCCAUGUGGCUGUACUCUGGGUCCGACGACACCGCUCGGGUUCAUCCAGAGGAAGUGCCACCCAAGACCGUAGCCAUGUGGUUGAAGAGCAUCACAGGCAACCAGAACAACCCCAGAGGAGCUAGGCGAGUCAUCCCCUUUAGUGAUGACAAUCAGCCCGACAAGGUUUUCACUGAAAUGUAUUUGAUGCCCAACGGUGAACAAGCUCUGGAGCAGGACCAGGAGGGAGAGGCCCGCGUGGAGGAGAGCGGUGAAUGGGAAUCUUCGGACGAAGACGAGGAGGAGGAGAGCGAGGAGUCGGACGAUGAGGAAGAAGUCGACUUGCCGCCGCGCUCCGAACGCUGAUCCAAGGAACACCAUGACCUGGCGGGCGGGUGCGGAAAGAACGUGGCUCCAAGUACCCACACGCAAAAGCGCACUCGGACGUCAACUCCGGAGCCGACAGAGAAGGUCGCCAAGCAGCCCAAGGUUGCUCCUCCAAAGACUCGGAAGACAUUGCCGCGGAUCAAGAUGGACGUCCCUAUUGCUUCGGGCCCAACCUCUGCUGCAACUGACAUGGAUAUCGACAAAGCUCCAGGAGACGAGGAGACUGAUGAUGUGGCCACUUCUCGAGUUGUUCCGUGAGAAGUCGUCAUGCUUCCUGAUGAUGAAGAAGAAGAAGUGCCUCUACAGGAGAGGAGGAGGAGAGGUGGGGGCUCGAGCAGGAGAAAGCUUGAAGUUCAAGUCCCUCAGUCGACGCCGACGCUUGAGGUAGUGGUCGAGCGUUCCGGAGAUCCGGUUCAGACCAACAUCACGUUUGCCAGCCCGCUGAUGACUGAUCGUCCGUCGGGGUCGACUGCUCCGGUUACCGCCGCUCCAGUGCAACUCCACUCAUUUGACCCAGUAGCUGCUUCGGACGCCUUGGAGCCAUCACUCUUUACUACAUAUCUGACCCCAGACGAUUCGCCAAGUGCUGUCAGGGAGGCUCUUCGCCAGGUGAACCUUGUCAUGGAGCAGGUGAAGGUGAUGCACGAGGCUAGUCAGGUGGCUUAUAACGCCAGCACCGCCCUGUAGACCAAUGUUAAGGUCAGCGAACUCCGACUGAACUUUUGAAUGCUGUUUUAUAUCCAAUCACCCAGUGGGGUGUGCCUGUGUUUAGAGUUUAGGAAAUAUUCCACUUCA